rnacentral:rRNA from 1 species
UACGGGGGGGGCAAGCGUUGUUCGGAAUUACUGGGCGUAAAGGGCCCGUAGGCGGCCAACUAAGUCAGACGUGAAAUCCCUCGGCUUAACCGGGGAACUGCAUCUGAUACUGGAUGGCUUGAGUUCGGGAGAGGGAUGCGGAAUUCCAGGUGUAGCGGUGAAAUGCGUAGAUAUCUGGAGGAACACCGGUGGCGAAGGCGGCAUCCUGGACCGACACUGACGCUGAGGAGCGAAAGCCAGGGGAGCAAACGGGG